rnacentral:lncRNA from 1 species
GGUUGGUGGCCAUGCUAUGGCAGCCACCCACAUACAAAAUAAAGGAAGACUGGCAUAGAUGUGAGCUCAGCAACAAUUUUCCUCAUGAAAAAAAAAACCCAAAAAUGUUGGACUUUAUACCAUUGUAAUGAUAAACAUUAAAACAUACUCAUGAAUGGAACCACGCUUAUGAGAGAGUGGCACAGAAUCAAAGAGAUUCAUUUUAAUAGAUUAACCAGAAAAAAUAAUAAUCAAAUCACACCUCAGUAGAUGCAGAAAAAGCAGUUGUUAAUAGUUAGUACCCAGUCAUAGUUUAAAAUGUUAGUAACAUCCUGGAAAGCAAGGAAUAAAAUUAUUAAAAUCUGAUUUAAAAACCUCUGCUAGAAAGAGACAGCAGGCUGGCCCCGUGGCUGAGUGGUUAAGUUCGUGCGCUCCGCUGCAGGCGGCCCAGUGUUUCAUUGGUUCGAAUCCUGGGCAUGGACAUGACACUGCUCAUCAAACCACGCUGAGGCAGCGUCCCACAUGCCACAACUAGAAGGACCCACAACAAAGAAUAUACAAUUAUGUAGCCGGGGGGCUUUGGGGAGAAAAAGGAAAAAUAAAAUCUUUAAAAAAAAAAAGAAAAGAAAGAUACAGCAAACAAUCCACAGACUAGGUAAAGUACAGAGCAUUCCUGGAAUGACAGGCAAGAUGCAGAUUUCCACCAUUCUUGCACAUAUUCAGCUUUAUAUCUAAGGUCAUAACCAGCCCAGUGGGUCGAGAAAAAGCGGGAAAUUUGGUGAAAAAGAUACAAAUUAUAAUUAUUUGCCCAGGAUACCUGCCUACAUUAAAAAACCAGGAAAAUUUGCAAACAAUCAGAAAUGUUACAGAUUUCACCAAGGCUGCUGCUGGACAACAGAUCACCUCCCACAACUCAAAAGAGACCUAUUCACCAGCAACAACUUCUUACAGAAAAAAAAUGAUUUCUUUUCAAAAGAGCCCUCUCAGAACAAAAACAAAGACUGGGUAAUUGAAGGACAAAUCUACAAAUAAUCGUCAAGGUCAUUCUGCAUAAAAUGGUAAACUUUUAUUGGGGGGCAUUAAAUAUCUGAACAUAUGGGGAGAUAUAACUUGCCUACGAAUGGGAAAGUUUAACAAGAAGCUGAUUCGUCCAAAUUCACUUGUAAACUCUAAACAAUGCUGAUCUGAAUGCUACCUGCCCUUUGUGUCUGUGUGUGGACUUGAUAAAGUUUUGCCCCCAAAUCAUAUAAGCAAAUAAUAUAAAUACAAUGUAAUACGUCAAUUAUAUCCCAAAAGAAUAAUAUGGAAUAAAUUCUCAACUAUUCUAAAAUUUAUGUGGAAGAACAGGAUAUUUUGAAAAACAUGAAGGAAAGGCUUUCUCUGUAUGCCCUUCAGAAAGGUGAAAUGAUAAAAAGCUGAUAAAUGGUGUGGGUUGACAGGGGUCAGGGCUAAAGGUCAGAGUGUAGACUGGGGUAUCCAUGAUGGAGAUUAAAUGUUUUAUACGUUUAAAACAUGACCAAGUAGCCAGGAUCCUGGGAAUGAAUCGAGGAAGAAACUCUCAUCCUGGUCAAACGAGAUGACAGUUGAGGGGGUUGUCACAGAAUCCUUCACAGUCAUGGGAGUGGGAGAUAAGACUCAUGAGUUGCACGCGUUUCAGGAGAGGAGACUUGCAAGGGCAGGAGCGCGGAUGCCAGGGCACCGACACUGGCGAGGACACCCGCAGCUGGAGCGCAACGGGCGUGGAGACCAGUACGGAGUCCAGCGUCGCCACCGUUGCAGGAGAGGGCACUUGGCAGCUGAGAAGACUUGCACUGUGGGUGUCACGGGCGUUGUAGGCGACGAGACAGGUCUUGCGCACGUGGAGGCGGGCGAUGAGACUGGCGACAGGGGCUUACGCAUGGAGACUGGAGAGGAAGUCUCUGUCCGGGGCAUCACCAACGUCCGGGGCGGGAGACUGGCGUCACAGACGUCGGGGGCGUGGAGAGGGGCGAGGAGAUUGGCAGUGGGGUUUGACCAGCGAGGUGAGGAGACAGGAGCGGAGAGCUGCCUUGGGGUGUUGGUGGCGUGGAGUCGAGGGAGGAGACUGGUAUCGGAGGCAUAGAGAUGAGCGAAAAGAUGCCAGACGAGGGUGUCGAGGGCAUGGUGGGCGUGCAGACCGGUGGGGAGACCCGCGUCCCGGACGUUGCAGCGGUCUGGGGUGGGGAGAUGGCCGAGGAGAGCUGCGUUCCAGGCGUGGAGACCGGAGAUGCGGGCAACUGGAGCGUGGGCAUCGAAAAGGAGACCGUGUCUCCGGUGUUGCAGGUGUGGAGACUGGCGUGCGGGGAGUGGAGAUUGGCUUGGAGACAUGCGUCCCAGGAGUCGUGGGCAUUGAAGGUGAGGAGACCCGUGACACUUGCGUGGAGACCCGGGAGGGGACUUGCGUCGUGGGCGUUGUAGGGGAGAUCGCCAGCGUCGCAGGCGUUGUGGGCGUGGAGAGGGGCCGGAAGACUGACAGUGAGGGCUUGGCGGGUGAGGAGAUGCGAGAGGAGACACGCGUCUCAGGCGUGGAGUCCAGGGAAGAGACUGGUCGGCAAGGAGAGCUGCAUGACAGGAACAGGCUGACCACAGGCGGGAAAUACACCUGCAACACAUCCAUCACAGCUGACAGAAGAAUAGAACAAUGUGAUGCCCGGAGCCUCUCAUGCCUGGAGACCAACAUCCCUGGACCCCCUCAUUGCCCAUUUUCCCUCUGUAACUGCCUCAAGAUUCUCUAAACCUUGAAGAUGGGUUUUGUGAGACAUUAGUCACCUAUCUUGUGAUUAGCCGGCUAAUCUAAUUAAACUUCCUUUCUCUGUUGUGAUUA